rnacentral:rRNA from 1 species
CGCGAAAAUAGUUGAGCUAAGUGAUAGUUUAUUUUUAGAUUCUUUUAUGUAGCAUAAUAUAAUUAAAUAAUUACUUAGGGGUGAAAGGCCUUUCAAAUCUAUAGAUAUCUCGAUACUUUAAAUAUACAUAUAGUGUAAUGGCAACUAAAUAGUGAUAAGGCUGUUUAGUUUCACCAAAAGAUUAUUAGAUAACUAUUUUGGUUUAACCACUUAAUAAUUAAAUGUGAAAACAUAUUUUUAUUCUAAUUGUGUUGACUGUAAAGUGACAUUUAAACAACUAUUAAUGUAAAUACUGUAGUUAUUAGUAAUUUUAAAAGGUGUUUGUAAUGAACUCGGCAAUAUACCUUUCAACUGUUUAUCAAAAACAUAGUUAUGAGAAUGUCUUCAUAAUGAAUUCUGCUCCAUGAUUUAUUAAAUAGCCGCAGUACCCUGACUGUGCAAAGGUAGCGUAAUAAUUUGACUUAUAAUUGAAGUCUUGUAUGAAAGAAUACAUGGGGGGUAACUUUAUUAUAGACAAAAUAAUGAACUUAAUAAUUAAGUGCAAAUUCUUAUAGUGAAAUGAUAGACGAGAAGACCCUAGAAAUUUUUAUAAUAUUGUUACAGGUUUUUUUUUGUUGGGGCAACAGAGUAACAGAUAACUUACUUUAUAAUAAUACACGCAUAUAACUAUAUGUUAGAUUAAAUUACUCUAGGGAUAACAGCGUAAUUUUCAAAAGUUUGCGACCUCGAUGUUGGACUAGGAACCAAAUACUUAGAA